UUUAGCCCAGAGGGACGGGACGCGGGACUGAGAAGCCCCCAGCGGGAGGAGGGGCUGCGCCGGGGGCGGCUGCCCCGCGGCCGGAUGGCGCGCGCCGGGGAGGGGCCGCGGGCGGCAGGCGGAAGCGGCCGACCCCAGCCCCCAACUCCGCGUACCGGCUUACACCCAUUUCCUGCCUUCCUAGUUGGCAGCUUGAGAUGACAGGAUGCGAGGGAACGAGCGACGUCCUGGGGCCCCCCGCUCCGGGCCAGCGUUUUCAGGACACAGCUUCAAACCCCCCGCCAACGCCGGGUCCUCCCAAACCUUCCAGCCUCCCCGCACCGGCCGUCGCUCUCCGCGAGGCUUUACGGGCCCCUGCUCAGGCUCCUCUCACCGCCUUUAUCAGGCCGUUCUGGAAUUAUUUGUUUACCUGGCUGCCUCCCUUACUCUUCUGGAGAGCCUCCCUGCUAGACCACACCGUGCCCUGUUUAUCUUUAUAGUCCCACGGCCAUUUAAAUACGCUACCUGGUAUAUAGGAAGCAAUCAGUAAAUAUUUGUUGGCUAAGUGAAUGUUCCUCACAGCCCGCCGAACUGGAGGCCAACACAGAUGAUCUUCAGAGAGGGUCAAAGCAGCUUGAAGAAGGAAGAGGGCUCAGCAUUCUGGGAGGUCAGCACAGCACGCCUGUUUAUGCACCAACCUCGGAAGGACUGUGGGUUUCUGUUUCCUCACCUGUGAAAUGGGAAUAGUUCCAGUUACCUCCCAGAGGGUUGCAAUCAGAGGACAUGACAGAGGGGCAGAGAAAGAAGGAGACACAGAAUCCGAAGUGGGCUCCAGGCUGUGAGCUGUGAGCACCAGGGCUCAAUGAGGGGCUUGAACCCACGGACCACAAGAUCAUUACCUGAACUGAAGUAGGACAUCUAACCAACUGAGCCACCCAGGCACCCCACGUAUAGAGAGGGCAAGCACAUGCAAGUGGAGGAGGACAGAGAGAGAGGCAGAGAAUCCUAAGCAGACCCCACACUGUUAGAGCAGAGCCUGAUACAAGGCUCGAUCUCACCAACUGUGAGACCAUGACUGGAGCCGAAAUCAAGAGCUGUGCACUCAACCAACUGAGCCACCCAAGUGCCCCAAUUCUGGUUUUUUUAGCCAUGAUGCAAGUCUGCUGAAUGGUCUUUCAAGUUAGAAGCCAUCUCAGUUCAGCAUUCUAGAAAAUGUUUUUUUGAAAAGCCUUAUUUUCUCAGAAACUGUCUGGAACUUAUGGGGGCUGAUCUUGAUUUCUGGCUGACUGGAGACCAUCACACUUGCUGUCAGAGAUUCUGAGCUACAACCAAUAACCUGGUCUGAUUCAACAAAUUUUGUUUGCAUCUUGAAUGUCAAUCUGAACUGAACAGUAGCCAGUGAAGAAAAACGGAGGAGUGUGUAUGUGGAGAUUACGGAAGUAGUUUUAUCCCUUGGCUUCUGUCACAGAAUCACUAACAAACACUUUAAGCACUUGUUGAUACUUUCAAUAACAGAGGUUUAGAAAUGAAUUACAAAUGAGUUCUUCAUACUGGCUACUAUUGAAUAAAUGAGCUUUUUGAGCUAUAUAUGAUAAAAUAUGAACAGUGGUUUGAGAUCAUGGACUUACUGCUUAGUGUUGAUUUGUGUUUCUUUUGAGUGAAACUGGUGUCACAGAAAAUGCAGCAAAUUUCAAGACAGGGCAUCUAUGUUGAGCCCAAGCUCUGCCCCUUGUUAAGUAUCAACUUUGGGAAAGGUGUUUCAUUUUGCUUAGAUGUGGUUUCCUUAUUUGUAAAACUGGGCUAGUGAUAAUGGCGUGCCUCCUGCUCAGAGCUGCUGUCAAGACCACAGGAGAGAGUGCACAUAUUUAUUUCAACAGAAGCACAACCACAAGUUAGGACAUAAGUUUUCAGUCUGUAAGCUCAUUGACUGAUACGCUUGCAUGUGACCACAUAAAAUAAAAGUUGACGAAAGCCA